GACGAACGCUGGCGGCGUGCCUAAUACAUGCAAGUCGAGCGCAGGAAACCGUCUGAACCCUUCGGGGGGACGACGAUGGAAUGAGCGGCGGACGGGUGAGUAACACGUAAAGAACCUGCCCACGGGUCUGGGAUAACCACGAGAAAUCGGGGCUAAUACCGGACGGGUCAUCAGACCGCAUGGUCCGAGGAUGAAAGGCGCUCCGGCGUCGCCCGUGGAUGGCUUUGCGGUGCAUUAACUAGUUGGUGGGGUAACGGCCCACCAAGGCGACGAUGCAUAGCCGAACUGAGAGGGUGAUCGGCCACACUGGGACUGAGACACGGCCCAGACUCCUACGGGAGGCAGCAGUAGGGAAUCUUCCACAAUGGACGAAAGUCUGAUGGAGCAACGCCGCGUGAACGAUGAAGGCCCUCGGGUCGUAAAGUUCUGUUGUAAGGGAAGAACAAGUGCCGCAGGCAAUGGCGGCACCUUGACGGUACCUUGCGAGAAAGCCACGGCUAACUACGUGCCAGCAGCCGCCGUAA
rnacentral:rRNA from 1 species